GAGGAGAUCACCCAGCUCGUCAUAAUAGAGCACUUUUUCAAUGGGCUCCCCAACGACAAGGCGACGACACAUUCGUAUGUCAUCCAUAUCAACUUUUGCCAUUUACUGCGCCUACCAUGGUGACCACAGGUAACGGGGAAUCAGGGUUGGAUUACGGAGAGGGAAUAUGAGAAAUGGCUACCACAUGCAAAGAAGGCAGCAGGCGCGCAAAUGACCCACUCCCGACGCAGGAAGGUAGUGAC